rnacentral:rRNA from 1 species
UACGUAGGUGGCAAGCGUUGUCCGGAUUUAUUGGGUUUAAAGGGUGCGUAGGCGGCCCUGUAAGUCAGUGGUGAAAUAUCUCAGCUUAACUGAGAGGGUGCCAUUGAUACUGCGGGGCUUGAGUACAGAUGAGGUAGGCGGAAUUGACGGUGUAGCGGUGAAAUGCAUAGAUAUCGUCAAGAACACCGAUAGCGAAGGCAGCUUACCAAGCUGUAACUGACACUGAGGCACGAAAGUGUGGGGAUCAAACAGG